GAUGAAGAACGUAGCGAAAUGCGAUAAGUAAUGUGAAUUGCAGAAUUCAGUGAAUCAUCGAAUCUUUGAACGCACCUUGCGCCCUUUGGCUAUUCCGAAGGGCAUGCCUGUUUGAGUAUCAUGAACACCUCAACUCUCGUGGCUUGCCAUGAUGAGCUUGGACUUUGGGGGUUUUGCUGUCCUACGGCCGGCUCCUCUCAAAUGGAUUAGCUUGCCAGUGUUUGGUGGCAUCACAGGUGUGAUAAAUAUCUAUGCUUGUGGUUUUCCACCAGGUAACCUUCAGUGGAUGGAGGUUCGCUGGGGCUCAUAAACGUCUCUCCUCAGUGAGGACAGCUCUUUGAACGUUUGAUCUCAAAUCAGGUAGGACUACCCGCUGAACUUAAGCAUAUCAAUAAGCGGAGGA
rnacentral:misc_RNA from 1 species